AUUGAACGCUGGCGGAAUGCUUUACACAUGCAAGUCGAGCGGCAGCGCGGGGCAACCUGGCGGCGAGCGGCGAACGGGUGAGUAAUGCAUCGGAACAUGUCCAUGUCGUGGGGGAUAGCCCGGCGAAAGCCGGAUUAAUACCGCAUACGCUCGAGAGAGGAAAGCCGGGGGACCGCAAGGCCUGGCGCGAUUGGGUUGGCCGAUGUCCGAUUAGCUAGUUGGUGAGGUAAAGGCUUACCAAGGCGAUGAUCGGUAGCUGGUCUGAGAGGAUGAUCAGCCACACUGGGACUGAGACACGGCCCAGACUCCUACGGGAGGCAGCAGUGGGGAAUUUUGGACAAUGGGGGCAACCCUGAUCCAGCCAUUCCGCGUGAGUGAAGAAGGCCUU
rnacentral:rRNA from 1 species